GAUUUAAAUAAAAAAUGUUAAAAGUUAUGAUGAAACUUCUUUAGCUUGAUUUGGCAAAACUUUUAGGAAUUUUGGUCCUCAAUGCUCUUCAACUUCGUACUUUAUUUGGCCUUUUUAACUUUUUUGGAUUCAAGCGUCACUGAUGAGUCUUUUGUAGACAAAAUGUGCGUCUGACGUAUAUACUAAAUUUAGUCCUGGGAUCUAUGAUGAGUUUAUUUCCAGGCUGUACUGGUUCUAAAUGAGUAUUAACACAAAUGUGAAGUAUUAUUUUUGAAUAGGCUCCGACAGAAAGAACAGAUAUUGACUUUUAAAUAUCUGAUAUGGAACAUAAAAUAGCAAUUAUCAUACCAUCUGAAGCAUAAUUUACAAUAAAAUUAUUCAUGUUUCCC
rnacentral:lncRNA from 1 species